AGAGUUUGAUCCUGGCUCAGGAUGAACGCUGGCGGCGUGCCUAAUACAUGCAAGUCGAGCGAACGGACGAGAAGCUUGCUUCUCUGAUGUUAGCGGCGGACGGGUGAGUAACACGUGGAUAACCUACCUAUAAGACUGGGAUAACUUCGGGAAACCGGAGCUAAUACCGGAUAAUAUUUUGAACCGCAUGGUUCAAAAGUGAAAGACGGUCUUGCUGUCACUUAUAGAUGGAUCCGCGCUGCAUUAGCUAGUUGGUAAGGUAACGGCUUACCAAGGCAACGAUGCAUAGCCGACCUGAGAGGGUGAUCGGCCACACUGGAACUGAGACACGGUCCAGACUCCUACGGGAGGCAGCAGUAGGGAAUCUUCCGCAAUGGGCGAAAGCCUGACGGAGCAACGCCGCGUGAGUGAUGAAGGUCUUCGGAUCGUAAAACUCUGUUAUUAGGGAAGAACAUAUGUGUAAGUAACUGUGCACAUCUUGACGGUACCUAAUCAGAAAGCCACGGCUAACUACGUGCCAGCAGCCGCGGUAAUACGUAGGUGGCAAGCGUUAUCCGGAAUUAUUGGGCGUAAAGCGCGCGUAGGCGGUUUUUUAAGUCUGAUGUGAAAGCCCACGGCUCAACCGUGGAGGGUCAUUGGAAACUGGAAAACUUGAGUGCAGAAGAGGAAAGUGGAAUUCCAUGUGUAGCGGUGAAAUGCGCAGAGAUAUGGAGGAACACCAGUGGCGAAGGCGACUUUCUGGUCUGUAACUGACGCUGAUGUGCGAAAGCGUGGGGAUCAAACAGGAUUAGAUACCCUGGUAGUCCACGCCGUAAACGAUGAGUGCUAAGUGUUAGGGGGUUUCCGCCCCUUAGUGCUGCAGCUAACGCAUUAAGCACUCCGCCUGGGGAGUACGACCGCAAGGUUGAAACUCAAAGGAAUUGACGGGGACCCGCACAAGCGGUGGAGCAUGUGGUUUAAUUCGAAGCAACGCGAAGAACCUUACCAAAUCUUGACAUCCUUUGACAACUCUAGAGAUAGAGCCUUCCUCUUCGGGGGACAAAGUGACAGGUGGUGCAUGGUUGUCGUCAGCUCGUGUCGUGAGAUGUUGGGUUAAGUCCCGCAACGAGCGCAACCCUUAAGCUUAGUUGCCAUCAUUAAGUUGGGCACUCUAAGUUGACUGCCGGUGACAAACCGGAGGAAGGUGGGGAUGACGUCAAAUCAUCAUGCCCCUUAUGAUUUGGGCUACACACGUGCUACAAUGGACA
rnacentral:rRNA from 1 species